rnacentral:rRNA from 1 species
AUUAGCUAGUUGGUGGAGUAAUAGCCUACCAAGGCAAUGAUCUAUAGCUGAUCUGAGAGGAUGAUCAGCCACACUGGAACUGAGAUACGGUCCAGACUCCUACGGGAGGCAGCAGUGGGGAAUAUUGGACAAUGGGCGAAAGCCUGAUCCAGCCAUGUCGCAUGAGUGAAGAAGGCCCUUGGGUUGUAAAGCUCUUUUAGUGAGGAAGAUAAUGACGGUACUCACAGAAGAAGUCCUGGCUAACUCCGUGCCAGCAGCCGCGGUAAUACGGAGAGGGCUAGCGUUAUUCGGAAUUAUUGGGCGUAAAGGGCGCGUAGGCUGAUUAAUAAGUUAAAAGUGAAAUCCCGAGGCUUAACCUUGGAAUUGCUUUUAAAACUAUUAAUCUAGAGAUUGAAAGAGGAUAGAGGAAUUCCUGAUGUAGAGGUAAAAUUCGUAAAUAUUAGGAGGAACACCAGUGGCGAAGGCGUCUAUCUGGUUCAAAUCUGACGCUGAGGCGCGAAGGCGUGGGGAGCAAACAGGAUUAGAUACCCUGGUAGUCCACGCUGUAAACGAUGAAUGUUAAAUAUGGGAAGUUUACUUUCUGUAUUACA